rnacentral:rRNA from 1 species
GACGAACGCUGGCGGCGUGCUUAACACAUGCGAGUCGAACGGAAAGGCCCUGCUUUUGUGGGGUGCUCGAGUGGCGAACGGGUGAGUAAAACGUGAGUAACCUGCCCUUGACUUUGGGAUAACUUCAGGAAACUGGGGCUAAUACCGGAUAGGAGCUCCUGCUGCAUGGUGGGGGUUGGAAAGUUUCGGCGGUUGGGGAUGGACUAGCGGCUUAUCAGCUUGUUGGUGGGGUAGUGGCUUACCAAGGCUUUGACGGGUAGCCGGCCUGGGAGGGUGACCGGCCACCUUGGGACUGAGAGACGGCCCAGUCUCCUACGGGAGGCAGCGGUGGGGAAUAUUGCACAAUGGGCGGAAGCCUGAUGCAGCAACGCCGCGUUCGUGAUGACGUCCUUCGGGUUGUAAACCGCUUUCGCCUGUGACGAAGCGUGAGUGACGGUAAUGGGUAAAGAAGCACCGGCUAACUACGUG